AGUAACGGCGAGUGAAGCGGUAAAAGCUCAAAUUUGAAAUCUGGUACUUUCAGUGCCCGAGUUGUAAUUUGUAGAAUUUGUCUUUGAUUAGGUCCUUGUCUAUGUUCCUUGGAACAGGACGUCAUAGAGGGUGAGAAUCCCGUUUGGCGAGGAUACCUUUUCUCUGUAAGACUUUUUCGAAGAGUCGAGUUGUUUGGGAAUGCAGCUCAAAGUGGGUGGUAAAUUCCAUCUAAAGCUAAAUAUUGGCGAGAGACCGAUAGCGAACAAGUACAGUGAUGGAAAGAUGAAAAGAACUUUGAAAAGAGAGUGAAAAAGUACGUGAAAUUGUUGAAAGGGAAGGGCAUUUGAUCAGACAUGGUGUUUUUUGCAUGCACUCGCCUCUCGUGGGCUUGGGCCUCUCAAAAAUUUCACUGGGCCAACAUCAAUUCUGGCAGCAGGAUAAAUCAUUAAGAAUGUAGCUACUUCGGUAGUGUUAUAGCUUUUUGGAAUACUGUUAGCCGGGAUUGAGGACUGCGCUUCGGCAAGGAUGUUGGCAUAAUGGUUAAAUGCCGCCCGUCUUGAACAACGGACCAA
rnacentral:rRNA from 1 species